GAUUUUGUAGCUCAAUUGGAAAGAGCAUUUGCCUACGAAGCAAAGGGUUGAAGGUUCGAGUCCUUCCAAAAUCA
rnacentral:tRNA from 1 species